rnacentral:rRNA from 1 species
AGAGUUUCUUACAGAUGGACCCGCGGUGCAUUAGCUAGUUGGUGAGGUAACGGCUCACCAAGGCGACGAUGCGUAGCCGACCUGAGAGGGUGAUCGGUCACACUGGGACUGAAACACGGCCCAGACUCCUACGGGAGGCAGCAGUAGGGAAUCUUCCGCAAUGGACGAAAGUCUGACGGAGCAACGCCGCGUGAGUGAUGAAGGGUUUCGGAU